rnacentral:rRNA from 1 species
UACGUAGGGUGCGAGCGUUAAUCGGAAUGACUGGGCGUAAAGGGUGCGUAGGCGGUUUGCUAAGACGGAUGUGAAAUCCCCGGGCUCAACCUGGGAAUGGCAAUGGAUACUGGCGGGUUAGAGUGUGUCAGAGGAUGGUGGAAUUCCCGGUGUAGCGGUGAAAUGCGUAGAGAUCGGGAGGAACAUCAGUGGCGAAGGCGGCCAUCUGGGACAACACUGACGCUGAAGCACGAAAGCGUGGGGAGCAAACAGG